UACAGUCAGUCCCCUUGUACACUGGAUGACUUGUGGUCCAAGACCAGACUUGAAAGCAGUGUUGAAGUCAAUCGGCCUACCUUGAAACGGGCUUCAUUUUCACUGCCCAGUUUAAUCCCCUGCAAGGACAUGCAGUAUUAAAGCACACUGGCCUAAAUAUGCUGUGAAAUCAAAAUAAAGUGUUGACUCUUCACUCGCGUAUCUCACCUAUCAUAUAGCUUAUUCCGUAGAGCUCAGCGGAUAAGAAUGUCAAGGAGACCGAGAAGGCAAUAAAGAAGAGAGGAAGUCCAGCAUCAUAGAGACUUUGGUCCAGAUGCCAAAGAGAAAAGACAUUCUUGAAGGUUGAUGUGGACUUUGAGAACUAAUCUGCCUGCAGAACGUGAUUCAGAACAAGAUGCAGACAUCUGCUGGAGAAGAGCGUGCCAUAAAGAGAGGGACGGCGUCUCACCACUGGAGCUCACAUUGUGUCGUGUGGUGAAAAAGCAAACUCCAUGAAAAUGGCGGCCCAUCAUGAGGUGGAAAUGGAGUGUAAGGAGGUCGGGUUGACCUGAUGUUGCUAUGCUGUGAUCCCUGUCGUGAGAACGGGAAGUGUUCAAAAGCAGGUGCACUGCACCUCGAGGUCGAGGCCAGGAGGUGGGGGACCCGGUGGGCACUGGAGCUGAGGAGAUUCGCCAGGCUCCAGUCGCCUCCGCCCGUCACCGACACACAU